GUGUUGCAACACAAGUUUUAUUCAGAGUAAGAGAUGUCAACACCAGCGUGAUAAAAAUCGUACAAACUUCACAAUUUCAAAUGAAAUAUCACAGCAACUUGUGAUCUUAAACAUACAAAAUUAAAGAUCAACAAAAAUCAUGCCAUGUGGUACCAAAAUUAAGUUGGAAAGUUUGCAAGAGGGAGAGAGGGGACAGGGGAAAGGAUAGAAGGAAAUUAAUGUUGUAUAAAAACCUUUCAUCAAAGCAUUACUCGAAAUAAAUCGUAAUUGUAGCAGUUUAAUCAAUUGAUGAAUUCACAAAUAUUCAUAUGAAAAUUCUUCUGCACUCUAGCAUGUGACAUGUUAGUGUUCUCUAUGUAAAUAAUCACAGAUAACCUUUUACAUUUGUUAUUACAAUAUGUACUGACUGUUGGUGAGUAGGACAUUUGUGCUUAAAAUUCCCAUUUCCUUUGUAUCAGUAAGAAUAAUUGAUUAAAGAAAAUAGUACAAGCUGUCGAUCUAUCUAUAGCGUUACUUUAUUGGCAAGAAGCUGCAGACACAAAGCUUUAGACACAGGCAUAUGGAGUCAUAUGGAAUGUGGACCUCAAGUCUAGUAGGAGGUCCAAAGAGAUGCUUUGAAGUGUGAGAUCAGGUCAAUGACUAGCUAAGCCUAUAGUACCCUCAUGUUGACUAUCAAGAAGGGAUGUCUGAGUUGAACUUGACUCACUCAGCUCUAAGUCUCGCGGCUGCAUUUAGACAGGCAGCCCAAUUCUGAUAUUUCUUUCACUAAUUUGUUGUUUGACAAAUCAGAUCAGUUCCGAAAAGAUCUGACGUGAAAAGAUCUAUGUGAUUGGUCAAAAGACCAAUUACUUGAAAAAAUAUCAGAAUUGGAUCGCCUGUCUAAACGCAGUCCUGGACUUCACACUCUAGGCUACUUCCAAGGACAGUACGUCUUAGAUACUGUUGCCAUAUACAGUCGUUUAAAUUAAAAUAAUGAUCUCUAUUUAUUGAUAUAAUUGGGACAUACUCCCCAUGAUGUGCAUGCACAAUAAACUGUAUUAAGAACACACAUAUAAUCCAUUAUUAGAGUCAUCUUCAGCAAGUGCAUG
rnacentral:lncRNA from 1 species